rnacentral:rRNA from 1 species
UGAAUACGAGACGCUACGGCGUCGAAGCAGUCAAUGUCAUACUUCCAAGAAAAGCUCGCAAUGUCAUAAACAAAUAAUGCCUGUACCAUAACCGACACAGGUGGGUAGGUAGAGUAUACUAAGGGGCGCGAGAUAACUCUCUCUAAGGAACUCGGCAAAAUGACUCCGUAACUUCGGGAGAAGGAGUGCCUUCUUUAGAAGGUUGCAAUAACAAGAUCCAAGCAACUGUUUACCAAAAACACAGGUCUCCGCUAAGUCGUAAGACGAUGUAUGGGGGCUGACGCCUGCCCAGUGCCAGAAGGUUAAAGAAGUUGGUUAGCCUAGCGAAGCUGAUGACUGAAGCCCUGGUGAACGGCGGCCGUAACAAUAACGGUCCUAAGGUAGCGAAAUUCCUUGUCGGGUAAGUUCCGACCCGCACGAAAGGCGUAAUGAUUUGGAUACUGUCUCGGAGAGGGGCUCGGUGAAAUAGACUUGUCUGUGAAGAUGCGGACUACCUGCACCUGGACAGAAAGACCCUAUGAAGCUUUACUGUAACUUGAGAUUGAAAUUGGACUUUAUUUGCGCAGUAUAGGUGGGUGACGUUGAGAAUAUUCUUGCGGGAAUAUUGGAGUCAUCAGUGAGAUACCACUCUUGUAAUGUUAGAUUUCUAACUUUGUAUCAUUAUCUGGUCAAAGGACAGUUUCAGGCGGGCAGUUUGACUGGGGCGGUCGCCUCCCAAACGGUAACGGAGGCGCACAAAGGUUUCCUCUGAACGUGUAGAAAUCGUAUCUAGAGUGUAAAGGCAUAAGGAAGCUUGACUGUGAGACCUACAAGUCGAGCAGGGACGAAAGUCGGUCUUAGUGAUCUGACGGUGCUGAGUGGAAAGGCCGUCACUCAACGGAUAAAAGUUACUCUAGGAUAACAGGCUGAUCUCCCCCAAGAGUUCACAUCGACGGGGAGGUUUGGCACCUCGAUGUCGGCUCAUCGCAUCCUGGGGCGGUAGUACGUCCCAAGGGUUGGGCUGUUCGCCCAUGAAAGCGGUACGCGAGCUGGGUUCAGAACGUCGUGAGACAGUUCUGUCCAUAUCCGGUGUAGGCGUUAGAAUAUUGAGAGGAGCCUUCUUUAGUACGAGAGGACCGAGAAGGACAUACCUCUGGUGUACCAGUUAUCGUGCCAACGGUAAACGCUGGGUAGCUAUGUAUGGAGUGGAUAACCGCUGAAAGCAUCUAAGUGGGAAGCCCACCUCAAGAUAAG